UUUACCUCAGCCUCGCAUCUCCGGGCAGGCUUAGCAACCUCUUAGGAAGAUCCGAGGCAAACAGAAACAAAAAACAACCUGGACCUGGGUUUGAGCCCCUGUGCACCCGGCCGUGAGUUCCUGCCAGGUGCCCUGGACCAGGACCCACCAUCUCUGGAGCCUGCGUCCGCCUCCCUCACGGCAUUCAGUAUUAGUUUUCCUCUCGGCCGGCCAUCUUCCUGUCCAGUGGAACUUUCCCAGCACCCCCGCUCAGUCAUGCUUCAGCCCCUUACCCUCUCAUAGACCAAGAUCGAUGCCUGCAUGUGCUAGAUGCAUGCCUUUGAGGAGAUCACCACCCCCAUUUUAUGGAUGGACAGUCUGAGGCUCAGAGGGCUGAAACAACACCCAGGUCUCCUAGGAAAGAGCUGAGAGAAAACAAAAGCCACCUGCUAACAGCUUCCUGGAUGCCAGGCACUGCCUUGAGGAGCACUUUCCAUAAAAUAGCUCUCAACCGAUCCAUGAGGCCUGUACUUUAUUAUCCCCAUUGCACCGGUAAGGAAACAGCACAGAGAGGGCAAUAACUUGCCCCAGGUCCUCAGCUAAUAAAUGACAGAGCUGGAAUUCCAAAGUAGGCAGCUGGCUCUGGGGCCCUCGCCACUUGCUCUGAGUCUCUUUCUCCAACUAUGAAAUAGAACUGGUAACAUCUACUCUUACAGGUCUGAGGGGGACAAAUGAGAUUAUAAUUUACCGGGAUGCAUUAUGACAAGUGUGAAAUGUGGAGCAAGGGGUUGCCAUUCCAGAACAGAGAGUGAGGGAGGCCAGGAAAAGCAGCCAGCCGCCAGCCAGGCCCCCGCGGACACCCUUGCCUGUCUCUUCGCUGUCUUCCUAAGGCUCAUGAGCCCCGUGCUCCCACCAGUUUUUCCAUUGGGUGCAUGUGUGUUUAAUUCUUGUUACAGAGAGGAAUUUGGUAAGUAGUGGGUUCUUCCUCAAUGUAGAA